GAGGGUGUAGUUCAGUGGUAGAGAAUUUGCCUAACAAGCAGGAAUCCCUGGGUUCAAUCCCCAGUAUCA
rnacentral:tRNA from 1 species